rnacentral:lncRNA from 1 species
GUCGGAUAUGGGGGCGGCGUCUAUGGGGUCGGGUGGGGGGUCGGAUAUGGGGGCGGCGUCUAUGGGGUCGGGUGGGGGGUCGGAUAUGGGGUUGGCUUUGGGGUCGGGUGGGGGUGCGGCUGUGGGGUCGGGUGGGGGGUGGGCGUCUAUGGGGUCGGGUGGGGGGUCGGAUAUGGGGUUGGCUUUGGGGUCGGGUGGGGGAUCGGCUAUGGGGUCGGGUGGGGGGUCGGAGUCUAUGGGGUUGGGUGGGGGGUCGGCGUCUAUGGGGUCCUCUUUGGGGUUGGCUUUGGGGUCGGCAUCUAUGGGGUCGGCUGGCGGGU